UCAGGCCUAACACAUGCAAGUCGAGCGAGGCAGCAAUGCCUAGCGGCGGACGGGUGAGUAACGUGUGGGAACGUACCCUUUGGUUCGGAAUAGCCCUGGGAAACUGGGAGUAAUACCGGAUACGGUCGAGAGACGAAAGAUUUAUCGCCGAAGGAUCGGCCCGCGUUGGAUUAGGUAGUUGGUGGGGUAAUGGCCUACCAAGCCGACGAUCCAUAGCUGGUUUGAGAGGAUGAUCAGCCACAUCUGGGAGUGAGACACGGCCCAGACUCCUACGGGAGGCAGCAGUGGGGAAUUUUAAAGAAUGGGCGCAAGCCUGAUCUAUCCAUGCCGCGUCUUAAAGGGAGGCCUUAGGGUUGUAAAGCUCUUCAGGGGGGAAGAUAAUGA
rnacentral:rRNA from 1 species